GGGUAUGGUGGCUUGUGCCUGCAAUCCUAGCACUUGGGAGGCUGAAAACAGAGGAGCACCAUGAGUCCGAGCUGCAUAGUGAGACCCUGUACCAAACACAUAAA